AGCUUUGUGCAGUGGCAGUAUCGUAGCCAAUGAGGUUUAUCCGAGGCGUGAUUAUUGCUAAUUAAAAUAGUAAAAGAUUGGGGCGCCUGGGUGGCUCAGUCGGUUAGGCGUCUGCCUUCGGCUCAGGUCA
rnacentral:snRNA from 1 species